AUGGAACUAGCACUUUUAAAACGAAAAGUAAACAAAGUUGACAAUUACGAACAUGAUGAUGCUCGUGAUAGCAGUUCUGACGAUGGUUACGUUUUUGGAUUACGAGAAAAUACUGUGAAUAAAGUACAGAAAGGACAACCGAAAAUCAACGUGAAAAUCAAUAAUUCUAAUGUGGAUAUUUUAAUUGACACAGGAUCAAGUAUUAAUGUUAUUGAUGAAAGCACAUUCGAGAACAUCAAGUGUAAACCCAAACUUUCUCACGCCGACACUAAAGUCUUCGCAUAUGGUUCAGAUAAAAACUUGAAAUUAAUGGGAAAAUUUCACGCUACAAUAGAGACUGACCAUAAAAUAACAACCGCACCGGUGUAUGUGAUGAAAGGAAGAUACGGGAAUUUAUUGUGCUACGAUACAUCUGUUGACUUAAGCAUAGUGCCAGUCAUUUCUUCAGUAGCAGAUAAACAUGAAAUAUUAUGCAAUAAAUAUAGCGAUGUGUUCAAUGGAAUUGGAAAAUUAAAAGAUGAAAAAGUGAAAAUUCAUAUUGAUGGAAGUGUAAAACCAGUAAUACAACCACAUAGGCGUAUUCCGUUUCACAUUCGCAAGCAAGUAGAAGCAGAACUCGAGAAACUCGAAAAACAGGAUAUAAUUGAAAAGGUGGAUGGACCAACACCUUGGGUGUCCCCGAUAGUUGUGGCCCCUAAACCGAAAAACAAGAACGAAAUUCGAUUAUGCGUGGAUAUGAGGGAACCGAACAAAGCUAUUUUGCGUUCACGUCAUAUUACACCAACACUUGAUGACAUGAUCUUGGAUUUAAACGGAUCUAAAGUAUUCUCGAAAAUGGACCUUCGAAGUGGAUAUCAUCAAUUGGAGUUAAACGAAGAAUCCCGGAACAUCACAACCUUCACGACACACGUAGGAUUACGUAGAUACAAACGACUCAGUUUUGGUGUUUCUUCAGCCGCAGAGUUAUUUCAAAACACACUGAGUAAUGCACUGGAAGGAUUAGAUGGAGUCCGAAAUAUAUCCGAUGAUAUAAUCGUAUUUGGAAGGAACCAGGACGAACAUGAUAAACGAUUGGAAAAAUUAUUUGCACGUCUUAAAGAGAAGAACUUGACAUUAAAUAAGGCAAAAUGUGAAUUUAAUAAGAACAAACUUGAAUUCUAUGGUCACAUUUUUAGUGCAGAUGGCAUAUCAGCCGAUCCAAGAAAAAUAAGCGCUAUCAGGAACACGACAAUACCGAAAGACGUAGGUGAAAUUCGUAGUUUCUUAGCAAUGACCUAAUUAUGUUGGACGUUUUUAUUCCAAAUUACUCAACUAUUAACUGAACCGCUCCGCAGAUUAACAAAGCAGGAUUCCAAGUGGGAAUGGACAUCUGAACAACAGGAAUCAUUUGACAAGCUAAAGAAUGAACUUGUUGCUGACCGUGUGAUGUCAUACUUUGACCCUAACAAAGAAACAAUGUUGAUAGUAGAUGCAAGUCCCGUUGGAUUAGCUGGAUUAUUAACACAAAAUGGGAAAAUAAUCGCAUAUGCAAGCCGAUCAUUGACAGACGUUGAAACACGCUAUUCCGCAAACAGAAAAGGAAGCAUUAGCAAUUGUAUGGGCAAUUGAACAUUUUCACCUUUAUUUGUACGGACAAUCAUUUACAUUGGUAUCCGAUCACCAACCGCUUGAAACUAUAUUCAACAGUCCAAAGGCAAAAACACCAGCACGCAUUGAACGAUGGAGAUUAAGAUUACAGGGAUACAAUUUCAAAGUACAGUACAAACCAGGAAAGGUGAACGCAGCUGAUUAUUUAUCAAGACAUCCGACCCCGAAUACAUCAAUCGCAUGUAAACAUUCUCAAUUAGCUGAAGAAUAUGUCCGAUACUUAACUGACAACGCUGUGCCGAAGGCAAUGACCCUUAAUGAAAUAGCUGACAGUACACAAAAAGAUAAAGAUCUACAAACUGUUAUUACUGCAUUAAAAUCAAACAGGUGGGACAAGUAUGAGAGUAAUACGCUUGAUACAUUCUCAAGAUUACGAUACGAAUUAACAGUCGUUCCCGUUAAUGAUAUGGAGAUCAUACUUCAUGAUAAUAGAAUUGUCAUUCCGAAAGAUUUACAGAUGCGUGUAAUUGACCUUGCACAUGAAGGGCACCAGGGCAUAGUACGUACAAAACAGUUGUUACGUGAAAAGGUAUACUUCCCUGGAAUAGACAAACUUGUAGAACAAACGUGUAAAUCAUGUAUACCAUGUUUAGCGUCAACCCCGAAAAAUGUUUUCGAACCGUUACAAAUGUCUGAGAUACCGAAUAAUGUAUGGGAGAAUCUCAGCAUGGACUUUUGUGGACCAUUUCCGAAUGGAUAUUACGUUAUGGUAAUAAUUGAUGAAUACUCAAGGUAUCCUGUAAUAGAAACCUUAACCAGUUUAACCGCAAAAUCCGUCAUACCGCUAUUAGACAAAACUUUCUCAAUUUUUGGAAUACCGAAAGAACUGAAAACAGACAACGGACCGCCGUUUAAUUCAGGAGAGUUCCGAAAUUUUGCAGAUAACAUGGGUUUUAAGCACCGCAAAAUAACUCCGUUAUGGCCUCGCGCUAACGCGGAAAGUGAAAGAUUCAUGAGAACUAUAGGAAAAGCAAUUCGUGCAGCUCAAACGGAACAUCGUAGUUGGAGAGCAAGAAAUACACACAUUUCUUCGCAAUUAUAG
rnacentral:sRNA from 1 species